ACCAAUUUUUAGAAUCAUGGUUGGGGCCAUAAACUGCAAACAAUGUUGUUCGGUUUCCCAGGAAAUCCAAAUUGACGACAACGUAAUUACUUCUCGGGUCAGUGGAUCUUUCAAUUGGGCUUCAAUUGUCUUUGGAAGAAGAUGGGUGAUCUUGUUGAUAUCCUGCACUCUGGAAUCGGCCAGUGUUAUUAUCUCAGGUAAAAGCAAGGCCCUGAUGUAAUUAAAUACCUUAGAAGCCCUGCUAGAUGAAAAAAUUGAGUUUACAUAGAAAGAUAAAAAUUUGCCUUAAUAAUAUUGGUGGUUUAAAGUUUUCUGAAAUAGAUGAAAGUAGCUCUUGAGAGCUUCUGAGGAUGCCCAAUAAUCAUCGGCGGGAACCUUAACCGAUCUGACAUAAACAGAAGACUUUGAGAUACAGACCAACGAAUAAAAAAACGCGUCAGAUAAGUUGUCAUUGUUGUAUUCCAAAAAACAACAACAUUAAUUCUAAUCUGAUUAUAAAUGUUUUGCAGUUCUCCCUCUUUUCUUUUUACAAUGACUUUCCACCUGUGGAGAUAUUAAGGCUUCGGUCACAGUACAGGCUUUAAUUUUGUAGAAUUUUGAGCACCAAGAGGAUUGGUUUUGUUUUAUCUGGCGAUAAUAUUUUUUCUUCAUACGGCGUUCUACUAAUGGUAACAUUGGUGAUUUCUUUAACACGCACCGGUCAGGGCCUUUACUGCUAUUUAUGUUGAGAGGAGGACCAUCCUUUAAAUGUUCUAAACUCGACUCCUCCAACAGACUUACGUAGCUUUUCGUACCAACAGAAAUUAUUAACUCUUAACAGACUCAGAAUCACCUUCCUCAACUCUAGACGUUACAGCUCUUAAAUCAGAUUGUAGGUUCUCUUCACGGCAUUUGGCAGAAUUAUUUUCAGGUUCCCUCUCCGUUUGGAUUUUGUCGGACUUGGAUAUUCUCGAAAAAGAAAGUUCCGUAAAUAAUUAUGGAUUUUUUAAUGCCUUGUCAUCGGCAUUUUUACCACUGGGAUUAAUAUGAGAUUCAUCCAUUCCUUCAGAGAUUCCACAACGACCGUGUGUCCCUCAGUUCUCUCUAAAUUGGUUGUCAUAGAACUUUCCUGGCUCAACCUUUAGACUGUACUUUUUGCCUCUACCUAACUAUAAAUAACAAGUUGGGGUUUAUUUAUCUGAUUAUCUGAUUCUCUCUGUAUUUCUAGAUUUGAACUUCUUUCCAUUUGAAAUACAGCUUCCCCGUA
rnacentral:lncRNA from 1 species